GAUGAACGCUGGCGGCGUGCCUAAUACAUGCAAGUCGAGCGAACAGACGAGGAGCUUGCUCCUCUGACGUUAGCGGCGGACGGGUGAGUAACACGUGGAUAACCUACCUAUAAGACUGGGAUAACUUCGGGAAACCGGAGCUAAUACCGGAUAACAUGUUGAACCGCAUGGUUCAACAGUGAAAGACGGUUUUGCUGUCACUUAUAGAUGGAUCCGCGUCGCAUUAGCUAGUUGGUAAGGUAACGGCUUACCAAGGCAACGAUGCGUAGCCGACCUGAGAGGGUGAUCGGCCACACUGGAACUGAGACACGGUCCAGACUCCUACGGGAGGCAGCAGUAGGGAAUCUUCCGCAAUGGGCGAAAGCCUGACGGAGCAACGCCGCGUGAGUGAAGAAGGUCUUCGGAUCGUAAAACUCUGUUAUUAGGGAAGAACAAAUGUGUAAGUAACUAUGCACGUCCUGACGGUACCUAAUCAGAAAGCCACGGCUAACUACGUG
rnacentral:rRNA from 1 species